rnacentral:rRNA from 1 species
GCUGGCGGCGUGCUUGAUACAUGCAAGUCGAACGGACCAGCACUCAGUGGAAGCCCUGGAGGGCCUGGAUCAUGAGAAAUCGUGUGAAUGGUCCGAAAGGGUGUAAGCUGAGAGGGUGGUCAGUGGCGAACGGGUGAGUAACACGUAGGUUAUCUGCCCCGAAGUGGGGAACAACUGUUCGAAAGGACAGCUAAUUCUGCAUGUGGUCCAGCGCAAGUUGGAAGAAAGGGACGAAAGUCUCGCUUUGGGAUGAGCCUGCGGCCGAUUAGCUUGUUGGUAGGGUAAUGGCCUACCAAGGCGACGAUCGGUAGCUGGUCUGAGAGGACGAUCAGCCACACUGGAACUGAGACACGGUCCAGACUCCUACGGGAGGCAGCAGUAAGGAAUCUUGCACAAUGGGGGAAACCCUGAUGCAGCAACGCCGCGUGAGCGAAGAAGGCCUUCGGGUCGUAAAGCUCUUUUCUGGGGGAAGAGGAAGGACGGUACCUCAGGAAUAAGCCUCGGCUAACUACGUGCCAGCAGCCGCGGUAAAACGUAGGAGGCGAGCGUUAUCCGGAUUCAUUGGGCGUAAAGGGCAAGUAGGCGGUAGCUCAAGUUGGGCGUGACAUCUCCCGGCUUAACUGGGAGGGGUCGUCCAAAACUAGGCUACUAGAGGGCAGGAGAGGGAAGUGGAACUCCUAGUGUAGCGGUGGAAUGCUCAGAUACUAGGAAGAACACCAGUGGCGAAAGGCGACUUCCUGGCCUGUUCCUGACGCUGAGAGGCGAAAGCUAGGGGGGCAAACGGGCUUAGAUACCCCGGUAGUCCUAGCCGUAAACGUUGGAUACUGGGUAUUGGGGGUAUAGAUUCCCGCAGUGCCGAAGCUAACGCGUUAGUAUCCCGCCUGGGGACUACGGCCGCAAGGUUAAAACUCAAAGGAUUGA